AAGAUACUCCCUCCAUCCGAAAAAACAUGUCCCUCAAAUGAAUGUAUCUAGCACCAAAUUAGUGUUGGAUACAUCCAUUUGAGACACAAGCUCGAGACAAGUUUUUCGGACGGAGGGAGUAGCUA
rfam:Triticum aestivum genome assembly, contig: Triticum_aestivum_CS42_TGACv1_scaffold_591814_7BS